GGGGAACAGAAAGUAAAAAGACCCUUAUCAAAUAUUGUAAUCAAUGGUGGCCGUUGUAUAAACUAGAAGGUGAAGUUAAGUAGUCGUUAAAUGGAUCUAUAGAUUGUAACACUCUUUUACAGCUAAUGUUGUUUUUAAGGAGAGAAGGGAAGUGGGAUGAAGUGUCAUAUGCAGACAUGUUUUUCACCCUCCGAAAUCAUCUAGAGUGGCAAAGGGACUGUGGGAUGGUGCUGCCACAGGACCCUAUGGUACUCGCACUUGCACGAGAAAAUAACAAGGGACUUAAAGGUAAAUUAAGGCGGUGUUGUUCAGCAUGUAGCAUUGGACAAAGGUGCACUAAAGUAGAUAAAAUUCAGCAGGCACCAGAACAAGAUCUAACUGAUUUAUUUAAGCCUCCCCCUCGACCACAGGAAAGGGAUGCGGACUCGGACGGAAACCCCACUCCCCCGGACAGUCCCAUAUCUUCCCGCACAAGGAAGAAAACUGCUUCUGGUACUGCCUCUACAGCAUUACAAGCCCUUCUUUGUGAGGCAGUAGGGCCAGAUGGGGGAACAAUGCAGUUAAACAGGGUCCUUCCGAAUCCCCGUCUGAAUUCCUGGAUCGCUUGAGGGAUGUAAUGUGCUGCAGCACACCGCUGGAUCCUGGGUCAGAGACUUGAAGGAUGCUCUCUUUUGCCUCCCUCUCCAUGAAGCCAGCCAAAAAUUAUUUGCAUUCGAAUGGGAGAACCCCAAAAGUGGUCAUAAGACUCAGCUCACUUGGACAGUGUUGCCACAAGGAUUUAAGAACAGCCCUACCAUCUUUGGCAAUCAGCUCGCAAAAGACUUGGAAUCUUGGGAAAUCCCCUCUGAGGAAGGGAAACUGUUACAGUAUGUAGAUGAUAUCCUGAUUGCCACCAGAACAGAAGAUGAUUGUAUGACCUGGACGCUUCUUUCCUCAGUGGAAACACAGGAGAACCCGUAUAUCAUAACUGCUUGGAGACCAUUGAAGCAACAUAUGCAAGCCAUCCAGAUUUGAGAGACGGCCCUAUGGAAAACGGGGAAAACUGGUUCACAGAUGGAAGCAGCUAUGUCCUGAGUGGUAAGAGACACGCGGGGUAUGCCAUUACCACCAGCCAAGAAGUAACAGAGUCAGGGCCUUUGCCGAUGAAUACCUCUGCGCAGAAGGCAGAAGUAAUCGCUCUUGGAAUAAUCGUGCCUUGGAAUUGGCCCAAGGCAAAGUUGUGAACAUAUAUACGGACUCGAAAUAUGCCUUCAGGGUUGUGCAUGCACACGGAGCAAUUUGGAAGGAAAGGGGACUAUUAAACUCUCAAGGGAAAAAUAUCAAGCAUGCAGAAGAAAUCUCGAGGCUGUUGGAGGCAGUCUAACUUCCUGAGAAAGUGGCAAUCAUGCACAUUAAGGCACACCAGAAAGUGAGCUCAGAAUUGGAAAAAGGAAAUGAGCUAGCGGAUAGAGAGGCAAAACAAAUAGCCAAAACAGAGGUAACAAUGGAAGGAGCUCUGGUUCCUGAUGGGCAAAUUUCUCUAGAAGGUAAGCCCAAAUAUACCAAGGAGGAUCAGAAGCUUAUCACAGAUUUGGAAGGGUCGUAUAACAAAGAAGGGUAGGUCCACACCCUGCAGGGAAAAUUAAUCAUUCGCUCUUGUUUAAUAUGGCAUUUAAUAAGAGAGUAACAUAGAAAAAGGCAUUGGGGGACAGAAGCUCUAUAUAAAUAUUCAGAGAAAUUGUGGCCAGAAAUUUAUACAGUACAGUAAGACAGGUGACUCAGCAGUGUGAUCUUUGUCUCCAGACUAAUCCUAAGAAUAACCCCAGGCCAGAAAUGGGCCAGAUUGGGAAAGGCAAUGGGCCUGGACAACAAUGGCAGAUUGAUUUUACAGAACUCCCAAGAAAAGGGGGGUAUCGGUAUUUACUGGUAUUAACUGAUACCUUUUCAGGUUGGCCAGAAGCAUUUCCAACCAGAACAGCCAAGGCUUGGGAGGUAACUAAAAUAUUAGUACAAGAGAUAAUACCAUGCUUUGGGGUUCUAGCUACCAUAUCUUCUGACAGAGGACCACAUUUUACAUCAAAAGUGGUACAACAAAUCAGCCACCAUUUGGGUAUAGAUUGGCAGCUUCAUACCCCAUAUCACCCUCAAUCGAGUGGCCAAGUGGAAAAAUUAACCACUUAAACAGCAAACUGGGACAAGAGGCAAAUUUGACCUGGCCUCAGUCUCUCCCUUUAGCCCUUUUGUGCAUACGAACAAGACCAAGGGCAAAAGGACUGAGCCCCUUUGAAAUCUUGUAUGGAGGACCCUAUGGGAUACAGGGAGGAAUAUCAAUACAAGCUGGGGAUGAAAUCAUAACUUCCUAUAUGGUGGCACUGGGCAAACAGCUCAAUAAAAUCAGAAAGCAUGUAGUUGGGGCUCAAGGUAGGGGUUUAGAUGGACCUGUACAUAAUAUCCAGCCUGGAGAUUAUGUGUACAUAAAGUCUCUUGCAGAAAAAACUUGGGAGCCACAGUGGGAAGGACCAUUCCAGGUGCUCCUCACCUCCUUUACAGCAAUCAAGAUCAAAAAGCAGAGUGCCUGUAUACAUCACACUCGGGUGAAGAAAGCACCAUGAAAGGUUUGGACUUCUGAAGUCCAGGGACCCUUGAAGCUCAAACUGCGGAGGUAGAAUGUGGAUUAAGAUUUGCGUAAUCCUGAUAGAUCUACAGGCAAUUAGCAUAGCUACCUGGCAAGAAAUUUCGUAUGUACAAUUGACACAGAAUAUUACUCAAAUUAUAAACAUGACCAAUCGUUGGGUUUAUACUCAAAUGUGAAGGCACUCUCGUCAUGGAAUGCCCUUAUAGGUGUCCCAUUGCCACUAAUUAUCUCUUGGACAGAUUACACUUUCUGGCAAAAUACUACUCUCAGGAAAGAUCCCCACACCAAGUGGGGCCAGGGGUUGGGAAUGAAAACAGUAACAGCCAAUACCUCAGGAGACCACUGCCUGGUAAGCUCAAGAAAUGGCAUGUUUGUUGGAGAAUAUUCAAAUUGCAAUGAAUCCAGCUCAUUGAACAUGACAAAUAUUGACCCAGCAUUCCAGUCACUUAAUUAUACUGGCCUCCCAGUUCCUCUAGGGACAGGGUGGUAUUGGUUGUGUGGUACAGCAGCUUGGAAGACUUUGCCUCUGGGGUGGCGGGGAGCAGGUACUUUAGGCGCCCUGAUCCCAACAUCACUAUUAUUGAUAAAACAACACAGAAUCCCUUGAGAAGAGGAUGGAGAGCCACUUUAAUCAGAAACUGAAGAAUGAAUAACCCCUUAAUAGAAACGCCGACAGGCUACCAUAGCUUUGUGCGGUGUCUAAUUCCAUCCCUGGGGGUUAGCGAGUUGGAGAAGGCCAUAGUAAACAUCUCGGCUGUAAUAAAGAUAAUUGAGAAUAAAACUGCAGAUGCCAUCAGGGCACUCCAAGAAGAAACUACUGAUUUAUCAAAAAUAGUAUCACAAAAUCAUAUGGCCCUAGACUUAUUAUUAGCCUCACAGGGAGGGAUAUGCACAGUAGUCAAUGCCAGCUCUUGCACAUAUGUAGACCAAAGUGGGCAAAUCGCUGCUGACAUACAGGGGAUCACAGAACAAUCAAAAUUCCUACAUAGAGUAACUCAAGCCAACACAUCCUGGGAGUUUUUUGAGCUAUGGGAAAAACUAACUUGUUGGUUCCCAAAUUUAACAUGGCUAAAACAGUUAUUUGUUACUAUAAUAAUCAUUAUAGUCUUAUCCAUAGUCCUUUGCAUAGCAGUACGAGGUGCCUUAUGGUUUUCCGGCGUACAGGAGAUUCCUACAGUGAAUGGAAAAAGAACCAGCUGUGACGAAGACUGGAAUCUGGCAAAUACUUUCAGAAUGUUAGAUAAAAACCCAUUGUAUUAGAAUAUCAGGAUAAGAGUAUUAGAUAAACGAAACAGUGUAUUAGAUUGUGGUGUAGUAAAACAAUUUACUAACUCUGUAGAAAAGGAGGGACUGAAAGGGGGAAAAUAAAAGUUAACUGUUCUAUUGCUGAAUGCUUAUCCAGCUGGAAGUUAAUUGUUGUGGAACGCUUAUCGAGCCACUGUGUAAAAUAAUUAGCAAGGAGGCCUGGAAUCCACCUGCGAAGGACAAAUUCCUGAUAAGGAUAGAAAAUUAUCUCAAGAACCAGCUAAAACCGACUUUGCAGUUUGGACAAGUGUCAAGGGAUAACUGAGUCUGCGCCAAACCAAAAGGUUACUAGCGGUAACGAAGAGCAACCAGCAGCCUUCAUCUUUACGACCCGCAACAACCACCACAAGCAGGCACUGCGCAAGCUCAGUUGGGAAAGAUUUAUGGAAAUAACUUUUUUUUGGCCGAUUUUAAUACGAAGCGCGGAAAGGUCAUUCAUAUGUAUAGGCGUAUGGGGAAAUCUUAUGUAUAUGUAAUGCUUUACUGUAUAAAUCCAAGACAAACCAUCACGCAGGCGUGCACGACUUCGGUGGGACUGCCCCUCCCCGUGCUGCCCAGCGCUGAACAAACAUGCUUACUUUACAGUCUUACACAUUGUGGAGUCCGCUUUCCGCACGUCAACGUGACAUAACCUCAGACUCAGAACCCCUCCCAAAACUAUCUUUUUGUGAGCAGUCCUGCCCUACACACACAGUCGGGGGUUGUGUGCACAGACAGAGCACCCAACGUCUUUCUGCGAAGGAUUUUUAGCAGUUCUGCAGUGUAGCCCUACAGUCUAUCUUCCUCCAGUUGAAUUUGGCCAGCAGAUGGAAGCAAAAGAACAAGUUAAGAAAUUUAGCAAAACCCUUCUCGUUCUGCGCUUCCUGGAACUCGACUCAUCCUUGGGACGGAAACUCGGUGAGACUGUACAGCCGUGACCUAUGGAAACGGGAGCUGACGGAGGAAGGAAUACCGUCUUGUGCCCUUUUGCUCUACCUGGCAGGAGGGACGGGGGCUGAGGAAAGCCGGGUGUCCUGCCCUGCCCUGAGGAGCUGGCAGGACAAGGAACACGUCCUUCCUGCAAAGGGAAGGGAAGCGGGAGCCGUGGGAAACCCCAACCCUUAAGGAGAGCCAGGACCACCAUCACGCCGGUGACCCUGCAGGCCUCCAGACAUAGCCCUCCCCACGCACGGUCACUCCCUCCGCGCCCGCCAUAUCACCGCCGGCUCCCCCAGGCGCCUGCGCGCCAGGGCGCCGCGCAUGCGCAGAAGCGCACUCCAAAUUUCCAUGGCAACGGUAACGCGCGGCCACCCGUCCUGCCCGUUCUUACCGCCUCCCUCGCCUGGUAGGUGGUUCUCAGCAUUUGGCAGCACAGCUCCAUCAGGGCGGGCAGCGGGCCGGG